GCGAUUACUUUUAGGUUUGAAUCUGAAUAUUAUCAUUUAAAUGAUUCAGCAAAAAAUAUGUCGUUAUUUUAUUUGUAUAAAAGCAGAUGUGCAGUUGAUGCAAUCGCAUUUCUUAAAAUCCUUCAGACGUAAACAUGAAAUCUUUCAUCUUCAUGGUUUUUCUGACAUUGGGUGUCAUGCUGAUCUGUUUGCAAGCAGAUGCGAUGGUGGACGACCUCGCCCACCACGCCAGAGUGAUCCGACAGGCCACAAAUAAUAAUACAAUCCCCAUAAGCCUGUGUCUCAACAAUCUGACAAUUACACCAGCAUUGUUAUCGCAAAUACUCAGCUUGGUGAAUUAAGUUAGGCAUCAUGCAGUAUCAAUAUGAAAUAUUCAGUCUGUUACUUUAUAUAAUAAAGGUUUUUUAUAUGAUCA